GAAGACCUCCACUCCGUUGGAAGGACCAAGGGGAGAAGGACCUGGCUUCGCUUGGAAUAUCCAAUUGGCGCCACGUAGCGAAGAGAAGAAACGACUGGCGCGCUGUUGUUGACUCGGCUAUAAUAGCGAUAUCACCCGCAUAUAGGUGCGCUGCUCGUGGUGAAAACCAUUUGGUACUAGGCUACUUUGAUGCGCAUCAUGAUCUUUGGCAUUCCUGCCUGUCAAAUGAUCGUAUAGGGAUGGAGCUGGGGGAACAGAUUGACGUUCUGUACAAUGAAUGGCGAAGCACCCACCAGUUAUGGGCACCUGCGAUAGCUCGCCCGAUAUUAUCAUUGCUAGGGUCGGUCUGAUAAAUAGCAUAACCUGGCGACAUAUUCUAACUCUCGCAUCAGACCAUCGUACCUUCGUUAACUUUAACAAAGCUGUUGUUGUUGUUGUUGUAGCGGCAGAGUUCUGCCGAGUUGACAGUCCUUGGCCGGAUAAAAAUCCAGGUCCGUUCCGGUUACGUAGACCCGACUGUCGUGGGAA